GGAAGAGUUAGCCCAUGGAAAAGAGUGAGGAGUUCACCAAAAAUGUCAUUAUCGAGGAGGAUUCCAUUAAAGCUUUUUAAAGAAACAAUCAAUCUGACAGACAAAUCUAUAACUGGCAUGGAAUUCGGACGUCAUAGAAUAGUCCCGAGCUUGCCUAGUCAAUGGUCCGGGUCAUUUGAAUACAUAUAAUACAGAAGAAUAGUAACCGAGUUCAUUCAACACAUAUGUAGAGUAUGUGAUAAAGGGGACUCGGACAAAGGCACAAUGCAGAAGAUGGGUAUAGUACGUUCCUGUUCCAACUGCUGCCAAUUACAUUUGUCUAUUGUCUGUUGGCAUCAAUUAUUGAAACAAGCCAA